UUACAUGGUAAAUGGAAGGGCCAGGAUGGUGGCGAUGACAAUGAUGGUGGUGGUAAUGAUGAAGACAACUAACAAUUGUCGAGCAUAUCUUUUGUGCCAGCCAAUGUGCAGAGUGUGCUACGUUCAUUAACUCAUUCGAUUAUCACACCGUCUUUUCUGCCUUUAUCAAUUACAAGUGAGCCAAUUAAAGCAGAAACCCUUGAUGUAAGGAUAUAAAGCACCAUCACACAGUAUUUGACCUCUGAAAGGCUCCGAGGGCAAAAAGGUAACGUCUGCUUCUGUUGAAAUACAUGUCAUCUCUCUGGCUCCUGGGAAUACUGAGUUGGAGACCCCCACAUGGCUAUGCCAUAUGCAGGGGGUUUGACUACAUAGGGACCUGUCAUGUGUGGGACAUGUGAUCUUGGAUUAAACGAAUGUAUCGGUGACAAUUAGAGGUCACAGACAUAGGAUCUCCAGGGGAGAUGCCAGAGCUCUUUCUCCAGGCACAUACAGAGGAAAGAGGAAAGGCCAUGUGAGGACAUAGCAAGAGGACUGCUGAUGUGUAAGCAGAGGAAAGAGGCCUUACCAGAACCCAACCCUUUCUGGCACCUUGAUCUUGGACUUCUGGCCUCCACAACUGUGAGAAAUAAAUGUCUGUUCU